rnacentral:rRNA from 1 species
UACGAAGGGGGCGAGCGUUGUUCGGAAUUACUGGGCGUAAAGGGCGCGCAGGCGGCUCUGAAAGUCAGAUGUGAAAGCCCCGGGCUUAACCUGGGAAUUGCAUUUGAUACUCUGGAGCUUGAGUGUGGGAGAGGAGAGUGGAAUUCCCAGUGUAGAGGUGAAAUUCGUAGAUAUUGGGAAGAACACCGGUGGCGAAGGCGGUCUGCUGGGCAGUUGCUGACACUGAGGCGCGACAGCGUGGGGAGCAAACAGG